AGAGAGAGAGAGAGAGAGAGGGCACUUGUGCUCAGAAGAUGAGGUGAUAACCUGAAAUGGAUAAAGAGGGCCACUGACUUCAAGAAAAAAACUAAUUAUUCCCCUAGUACCUAUUUGAUGUAAUGGCAUCAUCCAAGAUAGGCCAAAAAUCAUCCCAUCAUUUUGAUUUUAUAAAUGUAUGACCAUAUCUAAGUAAGCAUGGUCAUCUUGAAAUUGGUUCACUAGCCACAUGUCCCGUCCUAGCAAAAUAAUAUGAAAUCAACCUGGAAAAUCUCUAAAAGAAGCACCAUGCACAGCCAGAGUUGACUAUUCAGAUAGAACCAUUUCAAGAUUUAAUUAAGAGUGACCGUCUGAGGUGAAACCUAAUGCAAACAAAGAAUCCAAGUACCCAGGCAUCUUCACUGCCCCAUUCUUUGCUCCUUUCCCAGCAACAAUGUGGAACAAGGCAACAAUGUGGAAUAAGACUCUAUUAAUCAUUGUGACUCUCAUUAUGUACAUAAUUUGUGUUAGGAUCUACCAAAGAAAUUGGGCAUAUUGAAAAACAGUUUCCACUUUUUCAUGCUAUUUGAAAGAGCACAAGCCAAUCAAUGGAGAUGAGGACCAUUAACCACUUUCCUUGAGCAUACCCAAAAAAUCCCAUUAUGUCAUAAAUUGCUCUCCCAUGGCACCAAGGUUUCUUCUUUUCUUUUUCCUUUUAAUUAAGAGAACUUAUCAAAAAGUGACCAAAAGUUAUUACUGCAUAUUCAGGGUUCUUUUAUUGAAAAUUAAUCAUCUAAUUGCAAAAAUAUUUUUGAACCAUAGUAUACCAAUAAUUGAAGUUUUCAUAGAGGAACAGAAGCAACCUGAGCACAAGAUUAUCCCUGAGGAGAUUAUCCAUCUGUGUAGAAACAAGGGAUUUCCAAGAAAGAAGAUUGUCAACCUCUUUAGCUAUGACCUCCUGGCUGUCAAGGAGAUUCUUUAUGUCAGAUAUGAUUUUCUCUAAAAGUGUGUCUUUCUCUCCCAAAUCUUUGUCAAAUUCUUUAAAAAUAUUGCCAUAUCUGUAAUUCACCUCCUCCAAAUAUCGUUCCAAAACAGAUAAACUUAAGUCCAGAAAAUGAACUUUCUGCAUCAAUAUUUUAAGAACAGUGUCCCCUGGCAUUCUGCCUACUUGUUGGUGAUGAAUUUCUUCCACGCGAUCUGGCAAUUUAUUUUUCGUUACUUCAUGCUUCAUGUUUGAGUUUUCAACUGAAGUGCCAGAUUCAAUUCCCAUCCUCAGUUCUUGAUCAAAAUCAUCAACACGAGAAGACUCUGAUAGAGAUGGUAAAGGUUUUGGCUCACCAGUUCCCUCAUCAUAUAUAAUCUUGUUUUCAACAGAGAUCAAAUCUUCCAGCAUUCGCUCAACAGCAUCAACUCCGUACACUUCAACAACACUAAGAGUACAAUAAAACUCUGUACCAUAAUGGCUAAGAAGACUCAGCUUUAGAUAUCUCACCCACUGUGGCUCCUGAAGAACAAACAUUUGUGAAAGCUUAACAUUAGCAGCUGUAAAAUUCCCAAGCUGGACCCAUGAGUCUGUCGGAUAAACCAAACUGCCAAGCAGCUCAAAAUCUUUUAAAUUAGAAGAGUAGUGCUCAAAAUUUGCAAUUUUAAUUGUGUCUACUAAGGUUUCUUCUGAAAGUUCUAUUAUAACAAAUUUCUCUUCAGCAGAGCAUGGAUUUCGAAGGUACUUGUCCUUGUCUUUGCCUAAGACAUUAGAGGCUCCCUUUGCUUCCUUAUUAAAAUCCAAUACCUUCGCUCCCUUCGAUGCUGAAGCAUAAUUGUACUCCUGACCCCCAGGCUCCACUCUAUGAAUUACACCUCCAGCUUGAGCAGUUCCUGAUUUACUUUUAGAGCUGAAUGCUCUGCUUUUGAAUUCGUCAAGACCCAAUGGUACAGAAUGAGAUAGCCUGUCAAUCUUAGGACCACUAUUUUCAAAUUUCACAUCUGAAGCAGAGUUUGCCUCAGGUUGCUCCAUAACAAAGGCAUAAUUUGUGUUACCUUCACUGCCAAGUAACUCAUCAUUUGAACCCCUGGUUUCAGCUGUAUCUGUACACAAACUUUCAUCUGAAUAGACAGAACAAAUUUUAUUUAAAAAUGUUGUUUCCAGGGACUCAGAAAGUAUACAAAGUCCCAAAUUUGCUUCACUGCAAGUUGAUAUGCCAGCUGCAGGAACUGCAGAUUCAUCCCUAUAACCAUCCCCAUGACUGAUCCAUAAACUGAAAAGGAAGAAAAUCCCCCAUAAAACAAGAAACAAAGAAAGCGAAACCUUGAAUAACUGAGUUCUUCCACCGAUAGCCUUCUCAAAAGCUCUUCUUUGAAGAAGAGCUCUACGUGAUCUCUGCAUUGCACAUCAAUCCAAUGCAAUGCUGAAAGCUGAUUAAUUAAAAAAAAAAAAAACAACGGAGCACCCUGGAUUUGGGAUUAUCUGGAAAAAAAAAGGAUGAAAAUUCUUAGAAUGAAAUUUGGAGAGAUUCAACAACAGGUGAAUUGAACGUGAAUGAUUGCAUUAAAAGAGAACGAGAAGAAUUAGGAUUGUCAACAGAAGAAGAAGAAAGAAAAUGAAAACGGCGCAGUUUAAGGCGAUCAAGCGCGUUGUGCUGUGUCUUUAUCAACAUCAUCGCGGAUUUUAUACUCAUGCUGUCUCUUUCUUUUGCUAACGAAUCUCUCUUCCUAUUCCUUUUUGCUUUCUGCUUCUAUUUGUCCUAAUUUGAUUUCUCUCCCAUUCUCUCUGCCGUGUUUCU
rnacentral:misc_RNA from 1 species